CUUUGGUCGUUUGGAGGUGAAAAGGUGUUUCGGAAGGAAGUGAAGACAUUGUUUUGGUCGGACGAGUGCUGUUUUCUAAACGUUUGGCAAGCGAGUGUAAGCGUACCAGUUUCAAGUGCGGGCCAAAGUUAUUCAGUCAAGUUGAUUUCAGUAAUUCUACUCUUCUCCCAGUUGUUCCUAUACCGGCGUCUGUAACCGACGAGUUGCCAUCGUUGUUCAGGUUUCUCCACCAUUCUCGUUGCCUCCUCUUUUUCUUCAAAUAUUCCAUCAUGGCCGUCUCUGACCAUCCUGCAGGUGUCCCGUUUGCCAGCCUGCUGCUCCUUCAUUCUCUAUUGCUAACUGACUGCAAUGGUAAG